CGGGUGAGUAACACGUGGAUAACCUACCUAUAAGACUGGGAUAACUUCGGGAAACUGGAGCUAAUACCGGAUAAUAUAUUGAACCGCAUGGUUCAAUAGUGAAAGACGGUUUUGCUGUCACUUAUAGAUGGAUCCGCGCCGCAUUAGCUAGUUGGUAAGGUAACGGCUUACCAAGGCAACGAUGCGUAGCCGACCUGAGAGGGUGAUCGGCCACACUGGAACUGAGACACGGUCCAGACUCCUACGGGAGGCAGCAGCG
rnacentral:rRNA from 1 species